rfam:Caenorhabditis brenneri strain PB2801 C_brenneri-6.0.1_Cont204.5, whole genome shotgun sequence.
GGUUCUUGCUACUAUUGCGCCCCAGGCUCGUCUGGAGUUCCGACCUUUCGAAAGAAAGUGUUGAACAACUAUAAUUUUUGGAAACGCUCUGCCGGGGUUAUCCGGUGGGGCAGAAA